CGUCGACCGGAAGGGGUUUCUUCCGGCCGACGAGGUACAUGUACCUCGCCGGCUGGAAGGAUUUCCUUCCAGUCGACAAGGUACAUGUACCUUGUCGACUGGAAGGGGUUUCUUCCGGCCGACGAGGUACAUGUACCUCGCCGGCUGGAAGGAAAUCCUUCCAGUCGACG
rnacentral:miRNA from 1 species